UCCUGAGUCAGCCAAGGAAAAAGUGCUUUGGCACAUGAUAGAAUGUGUGAGUAUUUACACCAGGCAUUUUAAACUCAUUUUCAGCUGACUCAAAACAUCAACCAAAAAUAUUUGUGGGGCAAUAGAAUAUAAUUGGCCACAAUUGAGGGUGCAAAGAAGAGAAAUACCCAAUGGAGAACAGGAAAGAAACCUCGAUAGGGAACUUAUCUAAUUAAGCUUCCCUAACUCUGCAUUCAGAAAGCUUUAUUCUGACCUAACGCUGUGUCCGUUUUCUCACCUUAUCAGAUCUGAGGUCUGGUGUGAUUUUCUUUCCACGUUGGCUGAACUGAUGAUGCAAAGGAAAACAAAAAUAAAGGUCUCACGAAAAGCCAACUAGUGAUUGCCAGCGGCUAAGACAAGGAGUGUGAGGCAGGACUGAGUAAUGGGAACUUAAUACAUGCAAAGCACAGUGCUAGAGAUAGUUUAUUAAAAUGAGCUCUUGCUUCAAGGAGUCUUAGGAUGAAGACACAAUGCAAAUGGCUUAUUACAACACAGGCAGGCCUGUUUCCUACCAUCACUGGCCAGAGGAGAUAUAUGCAUCCUGGACCCAUGCAUUCUAGCUAUUGGAGAGAAAGCCAUGUGUCAUCCUGGAAGACAAUGCCCAGCCCCACAAGAACUUUCAACUGUCAUGUAAGAAGUUUGGCCAUCCAGAGGGGUAAUCACAUACCUGGAUGACAGACAUGUGAAUGAAGAAGACUUUGAGAUGAUCUCAGCCCCAGCCAUUGUCUGGCCACAGCCACCUGAGAGACCUGGAUGUUGUGAGAACUGCUUAGCUGAGCCCAGUAUCUCCAGAAUCAUGAGUAAAACAACUGUGAUAGAUUUGAGCCACUGUUUUGAGGGGAUUUGUUGUGCUCCUAUGUAUGGAGACAAGCAAUAAAAUGAAGAUGGGAAUAAGGACUUUAAAUGAAGAGUUUACAGUUCAAAGGACUUGAAAUUUAUAUUUCAAAUGUCACUUCCAAAUG